rnacentral:rRNA from 1 species
UGAGAAAUUUAGAGUGUUCAAAGCAGGCAUUUGCUUGAAUAUAUUAGCAUGGAAUAAUCAUAUAAGAUUUUCAUGAUGUAUUUGAUUGGUUUGGUUCAUGAGAAUAAGAUUAAAAGGGACAGUUGGGGGUAUUCAUGUUCAAUAGUCAGAGGUGAAAUUCUCGGAUUUAUGGAAGAUGAACAAGUGCGAAAGCAUUUACCAAGGAUGUUUUCAUUAAUCAAGAACGAAAGUUAGGGGAUCGAAGAGGAUUAGAUACCCUCGUAGUCUUAA